GAAGCGGGCCGCGCGGCAGCUUUCCCGCCCGUUUCGUGCGGAACGCAGCACGGGGGCCACGCCGCGGGGGUGGGGCGCCCACGGCCCUGCGCCGGCUGGAAAAGGAAGUGCCGGAAACUUCGGGCCCCGGCCAGAGUACAACGUGUCCGCUUCGGCGGCCCUGAGCGCCGCCAUCUUCUUUGCCAGCAGAGAGCGGGGGAAGCUGGGGGCGCCACCGUGGGCGGUGGAGCGGGUUGGGGCAUGGCCCGCAACCUCUCCUCUCUCUGCUGACGUGGAGCCGGGGUCCCCCUCUGGGAGCUGAGUCCUAGCGGCACGUCGGAGCUCGCCCGGGCGGAAAACGGAGACGCUGCCAGGGUCCCGGAUGUUUAACUCUUCCCUCACCCUGCUGUAUCGCAUCCUGGCUUUAAGGUGUGGGAGGGAUAAUGCCAUUGGAUCCAGCGAUCCUUUCUCAUGGUGAGUUUGCAGGUAAGAUGUCAGUUUCUCUUGAGAUGGGGUUUCUUACUAGGUACUGAGUUAUCUAUACAAUUUGCCUCUACUGGGAGGAUACCAUAUAUUUUUCUAAAACUCAGAUUUGUGUGGGUUUUUUGGCUUACAGUCCCCACACCCCAGGCGCAGGGUGUGGUUGACUGUCACACUUGUUCUGUGUGGUGGGCCUACCCAGCUGUUCACUUCUGCUGACAGAGCCUGCAGCCACACACUACCCCUGUGCAUGAAGGCAGGACAGCCCGUGCCGAGGAACGCACUCAGGGAGAGUCCCUGGACCCCUUCUUCCUGUGCUGCUCCUGGAGCUCAGAUGCCUCACAUGACUUCUCUUUCCAGGCCCCACUGCUGUGAGCAACACCCUUCCCUGUCCAGAGCAGUCGAACAGACAACCAAGGGAGCUGACUGGACAGCACCCUUGGUAAGCAAGUACUGCAGCCGAACCCUAGGAGCAGCUCCUGGACAUACCCCUCGCGCUGUAGCGGAUCCAGCACUGGGAGGAAGGUCAGCAACAGCUCAGGAAAGCAGUAGAAGAUGGCCCAAGUCCUUGGACCCCUGCACCCACGUGGGAGACCCAGCCCAGCUCCUGGCUUUGGAUUGGCACGGCCAAUUUGGGAGUGAAACAGCGAUGGAAGACCUCUCUCUCUGCCUCUUCCUCUCCUCUCUCUGUGUAACUCCAGCUUUAAAAUAAAUAAAUAUAUCUUGAAAAAGGAAAAUCAGGGGGUCUUCUGUCAUGUAUGCCACAUGUAUGCCACAGACUGAGGGGUGGGGGGAGUGGUAGAGCAA